CACAUGGCAAGAGGGGAUGCAGAUGCGCCAUACCUUCCGUGACAAGACCGUUAUGACUUGGCAUUUAAGCUUGUAUAGAAAUUAGUAAAUAGCACUGUGCGUGGGCAAUGGUCCCCCAUUCACAGAAUAAAAGUUAAAGUCACCUCCCGAGUUGUCACAGCACAGAAAAAUUACAUAGCUCCACAAGAUUGAUGGAAUAGUUUAAGGAAAAGGAGGUCUAACCUACUAAGCAAUGGG
rnacentral:lncRNA from 1 species